rnacentral:rRNA from 1 species
UACGGGGGGGGCAAGCGUUGUUCGGAAUUACUGGGCGUAAAGGGCUCGUAGGUGGCCAACUAAGUCAGACGUGAAAUCCCUCGGCUUAACCGGGGAACUGCGUCUGAUACUGGAUGGCUUGAGUUUGGGAGAGGGACGCGGAAUUCCAGGUGUAGCGGUGAAAUGCGUAGAUAUCUGGAGGGACACCGGUGGCGAAGGCGGGUCUCUGGGCCGAUACUGACGCUGAGGAGCGAAAGCGUGGGGAGCGAACAGG